rnacentral:tRNA from 1 species
GCCCUGGUAGUGUAGUGGCCUAUCAUGGUACCCUGUCACGGUACCGACCCGGGUUCAAAAAGGCCGCCAGCAAUGGCG